UAAUUUUUUUGUUACUAAUGAUUUAAUGAAUUUUAUUGAUGAAAACAUAAAUACUUUUUAUAUAAAAAUAAUAAAAACUUUUGAGUAUCUUAUUGCUAUAAUACCGUGGUACACUUUAAACUAAACUACAUAAUUAAUAUACCACACUAAUGGUUGUAUAAAUAUUUUACAGGUUUUCCUAUCUUGAAUACAACAAUUGAUAAAUCUAGAACUGGAGGAAAAAAGAAUAUCCAGUUAUGGUGGAUCACAGCAGCUGCUGUUGGAGGUUUAUUAGUAAUUGUUAAUAUUUUGUUAUUUUUUUGUUUUCAAAAAAGAAGGAAUUGGAACCAAAGAGCAUGUGCAGUGAGAAGAGAGAGUUUAAUUGCUGGUUCAACUGAUAAACCAAAAGAAGUGAUAGGUUUACAAAAAUUACUUAGUAAUAAUGGUAGAGCUUUCUUCUUUACUGCCACAUUAUCACAGGACCACAUAACUCUUGAAGAUUUCCAGGUAAGAGACAGUAAAAUUGUGUGUGAAGAAUCGACCAAUGCCGAUUAUGCUCGAAGCAGAAAAGGAAGUGACGAAAGUAAGAAAUUACUUAAAAUAUCUAAACUUUAUAUUAAUCAGAAAAUAUUUAUAAUUUGUACAGUUUCCUUGUUACUUUAUUGCAAAAAUAAUACAUGAUUGGAACCAUAUAUAGCUAUAAUAUCAUUUAUUCUCAGAAAUUCUGUCAUUGGCUAAUAAUUCUGAAUUCUCUUGAUUUCAGGUAUUAUUGAUUCACAAAACAAAAAAGUUGAAUAUCAAUUUCUUGUGCAGAUUUAAUUGCUAUCUAAAAUUAUUUUUUAAUUUCUCUCUACACAGGUUUAAACAAAUAUAAAUCAUCAAGAACAUUUCUUCAUAGAUCUUUCAAAGUAUAUGCAUAUUUUAUCACAUUUUGAUUAUUUUCCUCUUACCAAU